GCCUGGCUGGCUCAGUCGGUGGAGCAUGCAACUCUUGAUAUCAGGGUUGUGAGUUCAAGUCUCAUGUGGGGUG
rfam:Felis catus breed Abyssinian Contig42028.1, whole genome shotgun sequence. [26-MAY-2016]